GUCUACAGCCAUACCACCCUGAACUUGCCCGAUCUCAUCUGAUCUCGGAAGCUAAGCAGGGUCGGGCCUGGUUAGAACUUGGAAGGGUUUUGUUUUACUCUCUUGAUGUGAGGGAAGUCUUCUGCGUGGAGAUU
ensembl:rRNA 5S_rRNA 5S ribosomal RNA